GACGAACGCUGGCGGCGUGCCUAAUACAUGCAAGUCGAGCGGGCCUCCGGAGGUGCUUGCACCUCCGGAAGGCCAGCGGCGGACGGGUGAGUAACACGUGGGCAACCUGCCUUUGAGGCCGGGAUAACACCGGGAAACCGGUGCUAAUACCGGAUACGUCCUCUUUCGCGCCUGCGAGAGGGGAGAAAGACGGUCUUUAAGGCCGUCGCUCAAAGAGGGGCCCGCGGCGCAUUAGCCGGUUGGUGGGGUAAGGGCCUACCAAGGCGACGAUGCGUUGCCGACCUGAGAGGGUGAUCGGCCACACUGGGACUGAGACACGGCCCAGACUCCUGCGGGAGGCAGCAGUAGGGAAUCAUCCGCAAUGGGCGAAAGCCUGAUGGUGCAACGCCGCGUGAGUGAGGAAGGUUUUCGGAUCGUAAAGCUCUGUUGUGAGGGAAGAACAGCUUCCGGAGGAAAUGCCGGAGGUUUGCCGGUACCUCACCAGAAAGCCCCGGCUAACUACGUGCCAGCCGCCGCCGUAACAC
rnacentral:rRNA from 1 species